ensembl:lncRNA
ACGUUGGCGGCAACGGACGAUCGCGUCGAACGUUGCCUGGCAACGGACGAUCGCGUCGAACGUUGCCUGGCAACGGACUAUCGUGUCGAACGAUGACGUAGGAAGGUUAAUGAACAUUCACGCUCAUUCAUUGAGCGCCACAAGACGUAAUAACAUUAAACAGGUAACACUUAUUUUACAAAUGACAUUUAUUAGCGUUUCUAACUUUAUAUUUGUAUUGUAUUUAAUUGUUUAAUCACAUUUAGCUAGUAAACUGAGUGUAUUAACACAAGCUAGCUAAACUAUGAUACACUUUAAACACUCAGUUUACUAGCCAAAUUCAAUACAAUACAAAUAUAAAGUAAAAAACAAGUGUUAUCUGUAUUAUGUUAUUUCGUCUUUGGCAACAUGAGCGCAAAUGUUUUUUGAAACCUGCCUGGCAACAGACAAUCGUGUCGAACGAUGGGUUAUGUUUCGAACGCGGAUUACGUAGGCGGUACAAUUUUCGCCCCCGGUACAAUUGUGAUGUGACAGCUCUGCUACCUGUUGUACGGAGUUAUGUCGUUAUUAUGCUCAUUUCUGAAACAUGCUUCACCAGCUUCAGUUAUAUCCAAAGAACCAGCAGGAGUCAUAGAUCAGUCAGUUCAUAACAAGCAGGCUGAAAAUGACAUGGAAAAAAAGCAAUUUAGUCAUUUGCCGUUUAUUCCUUAGAUUCCAUCCUUCUAUAAGAACGAAAAUAAAUCACUGUCUAAAUUGCGGUUGCACAGCAUUCGGCCCCGUAGCUAUUUAGCCGGUUGGUUACCAUGGCAACCUUAAGCCUUUCACACUGCAUGGUGCCGUCCAAUCUCAGUUCUUCAAUUGAACAAUCUCCCCAUAAAAAAAAAAAAUCUGCGUGUAACCACUGUUUACUGGUUACCACUGGUUACACACCGGUCACUCUCCUAUUUGAGUCUCAUGACGUAUGUAUGUAAAAACUAGGAUGUAGAAUAAUAAAAUGACCCGCACUAUAACUCUUGUACACAAGCAACCACUUUAUUCUUUUUAUUAGGUUAGGCAGAGCGACUGAGUGUGUGUGUGUGUGUGUGUGUGUGUGUGUGUGUGUGUGUGUGUGUGUGUGUGUGUGUGUGUGUGUGGGUUUGUGUGUGUGUGUGUGAGUGACACAACAGAAAUUCUGUAAUAAAAAUUAAGUCUUAUACUAAACAUAAAGGUCUUAAUGCUAAGGGUGUUUUAUCCUUACCUCAUCAUAAAGCCUUGUGAAUUCUGGCGUGAUGCCAGCUCCAGCAGUAAAGAAAAAAGGCAAAAUGAAAACAAGAAGGAGCCAUAGCCGGCUCACAGAUCCCGGCCCAUGUCGACACUACGUUACCGUGGUCUGUGAGGCCAAGCCCACUGUCGUUCAGCUACAUCACAGCACACUGGAUGUAAUGUACAUCUCUGUCAGCAAGGUGGACUGUGAUUUCCCCCCCCCCCCAAAAAAAUGUAAUAAAAGCAAAUAAAGACACUAAGUCAAUGAUCAAGC